rnacentral:sRNA from 1 species
GCCGGGUGUGGUGGCGCACGCCUGUAAUCCCAGCAGUUGGGGAGGCUGAGACAGGAGAAUUGCGAGCAACUGUGAGGCACUAAGCAACUUGGUGAGACCCUGUCUCUA